rnacentral:tmRNA from 1 species
GGGGGUGUACUGGUUUCGACGGGGAUCUCAUCUGUUGGGGCAGCCAUUCGUAGGAAGUCUACACUACGUAAAAAGAGGACAUUUUAAAUUAAACGCAGAAGACAAUUUUGCGCUAGCAGCCUAGGGCUGCUCGUUUUACUAGGCUAAUCCGCAGGCUUAGAUAAAACGCCGAACAGCGGAGAACGACUCUUGAUAAGCUUUGCCCAAGAGCUGUACCUAUGAAGCUACUGAAACUGUUAACCGGUCAUUAGGUGAAUAGCAGAGGGAAUGUCAAAAUGAUGACUAUAAUGGUAGAGACCACGCCUUAUGGAUUUUCGGACAGGGGUUCGAUUCCCCUCACCUCCAUUU